AGCGCAGGCGGGAGAACAAGUUGGAAGUGAAAUCCAUGGGCUCAACCCAUGAACUGCUUUCAAAACUGUUUUUCUUGAGUAGUGCAGAGGUAGGCGGAGUUCCCGGUGUAGCGGUGGAAUGCGUAGAUAUCGGGAGGAACACCAGUGGCGAAGGCGGCCUACUGGGCACCAACUGACGCUGAGGCUCGAAAGUGUGGGUAGCAAACA
rnacentral:rRNA from 1 species